GACGAACGCUGGCGGCGUGCUUAACACAUGCAAGUCGAACGGAAAGGCCCUGCUUUUGUGGGGUGCUCGAGUGGCGAAUGGGUGAGUAACACGUGAGUAACCUGCCCUUGACUUUGGGAUAACUUCAGGAAACUUGGGCUAAUACCGGAUAGGAGCUCCUGCUGCAUGGUGGGGGUUGGAAAGUUUCGGCGGUUGGGGAUGGACUCGCGGCUUAUCAGCUUGUUGGUGGGGUAGUGGCUUACCAAGGCUUUGACGGGUAGCCGGCCUGAGAGGGUGACCGGCCACAUUGGGACUGAGAUACGGCCCAGACUCCUACGGGAGGCAGCAGUGGGGAAUAUUGCACAAUGGGCGGAAGCCUGAUGCAGCAACGCCGCGUGCGGGAUGACGGCCUUCGGGUUGUAAACCGCUUUCGCCUGUGACGAAGCGUGAGUGACGGUAAUGGGUAAAGAAGCACCGGCUAACUACGUG
rnacentral:rRNA from 1 species